AUUGAACGCUGGCGGCAUGCCUUACACAUGCAAGUCGAACGGUAACAGGUCUUCGGAUGCUGACGAGUGGCGCACGGGUGAGUAAUACAUCGGAACGUGCCCGAUCGUGGGGGAUAACGAGGCGAAAGCUUUGCUAAUACCGCAUACGAUCUACGGAUGAAAGCGGGGGAGCUUCGGACCUCGCGCGGACGGAGCGGCCGAUGGCAGAUUAGGUAGUUGGUGGGAUAAAAGCUUACCAAGCCGACGAUCUGUAGCUGGUCUGAGAGGAUGAUCAGCCACACUGGGACUGAGACACGGCCCAGACUCCUACGGGAGGCAGCAGUGGGGAAUUUUGGACAAUGGGCGAAAGCCUGAUCCAGCCAUGCCGCGUGCAGGAUGAAGGCCUUCGGGUUGUAAACUGCUUUUGUACGGAACGAAAAGCCUCUUGCUAAUAAAGAGGGGUCAUGACGGUACCGUAAGAAUAAGCACCGGCUAACUACGUG
rnacentral:rRNA from 1 species